GACGAACGCUGGCGGCGUGCUUGACACAUGCAAGUCGAACGAUGAAGCUGGAGCUUGCUCCGGUGGAUUAGUGGCGAACGGGUGAGAAACACGUGAGCAAUCUGCCCUUGACUCUGGGAUAACUGCGGGAAACUGUAGCUAAUACCGGAUACUUUCACUGGAAGGCAUCUUCUGGUGAAGAAAGAAUUUCGGUCAAGGAUGGGCUCGCGGCCUACCAGCUUGUUGGUGAGGUAACGGCUCACCAAGGCGACGACGGGUAGCCGGCCUGAGAGGGUGACCGGCCACACUGGGACUGAGACACGGCCCAGACUCCUACGGGAGGCAGCAGUGGGGAAUAUUGCACAAUGGGCGCAAGCCUGAUGCAGCAACGCCGCGUGAGGGAUGAAGGCCUUCGGGUUGUAAACCUCUUUUAGCAGGGAAGAAGCGAAAGUGACGGUACCUGCAGAAAAAGCACCGGCUAACUACGUGCCAGCAGCCGCCGUAA
rnacentral:rRNA from 1 species